rnacentral:rRNA from 1 species
UACGUAGGGGGCAAGCGUUGUCCGGAUUUAUUGGGCGUAAAGCGCACGCAGGCGGUCUGCCAAGUCAGUGGUGAAAGCCCGGAGCUCAACUCCGGAACUGCCAUUGAAACUGUUUAGCUUGAGGACGAGAGAGGUGAGUGGAAUUCCCAGUGUAGAGGUGAAAUUCGUAGAUAUUGGGAAGAACACCGGUGGCGAAGGCGGCUCACUGGCUCGUUUCUGACGCUCAGGCGCGAUAGCGUGGGGAUCAAACAGG